rnacentral:rRNA from 1 species
UACGAAGGGGGCUAGCGUUGCUCGGAAUCACUGGGCGUAAAGCGCACGUAGGCGGAUCUUUAAGUCAGGGGUGAAAUCCCAAGGCUCAACCUUGGAACUGCCUUUGAUACUGGGGAUCUCGAGUCCGGAAGAGGUGAGUGGAACUGCGAGUGUAGAGGUGAAAUUCGUAGAUAUUCGCAAGAACACCAGUGGCGAAGGCGGCUCACUGGUCCGGUACUGACGCUGAGGUGCGAAAGCGUGGGAGCAACA